rnacentral:lncRNA from 1 species
AGGUUUUCAAGAUGCACAUUUAAAAGGAAUUGUAAAGAUCAUAAAGCUAGCAAUAUGGCGAUAUAGGGACAAAAAGUCACGAUAUUUGGUGGUUUCAUUUGUUCAGAAAGUUCUCGCAAAAUAUGGAGUCAAUUUUGGUAAGCUGCUUUUAACUGAAGUUCAACCUCAAGCUGUUGGACUUGCAAAGUCUAAUUC